rnacentral:rRNA from 1 species
AUUCCGCUCCAAUAGCAUAUAUUAACGUUGUUGCAGUUGAAAAGCUCGUAGUUGAACUUUUGGUAGGAGCGACCUGGCCUUGGGCGCAUGCCCUUGUUUGCUGUGUGUCGUAUCUGGCCAUCCUUUUCUUCUUCGGAAGGAAUCAUUUACUGUGAGUAAGCUGGAGUGCUCAAAUCAAGACGUUUGUUUGGUACAUUAAAGCAUGGAAUAAUAAGAUAGGACCUGGUUACUAUUUUGUUGGUUUGCAUAGCUAGGUAAUGAUUAACAGGGACAGUUGGGGGUAUUCGUAUUUAAUUGUCAGAGGUGAAAUUCUUGGAUUUAUGAAAGACGAACGACUGCGAAAGCAUUUACCAAGGAUGUUUUCAUUA